rnacentral:rRNA from 1 species
AUGGAGGAUGCCAUAAGUAAUGUCAUGCCAAACACGGCUCACCGGUGGUGCAAGUGGCAUGUGCUAAAGAAGGCAAAAGAGUCGCUUGGCCCAUUGUACACAAAGAAGAGUGAUUUUCGACCAGAGUUUCACAAGGUUGUCAACCACAUGCUAACCAUAGAUGAGUUUGAGGAUGGCUGGAAGUACUUAAUAGAGAAAUACAACUUGAAAAGUCAUGACUACAUGACUAAUUUGUUUGAAAUACGGCACAAAUGGGCAAAGCCCUACUUCAAGGGGGUGUUCUGUGCAAAAAUGACUAGUACACAACGGAGUGAAAGUGCAAAUCACAUGCUAAAGAACUACGUGCCGCCUGGUUGCCCUAUACAUGUUUUUGUGAGGAAGUAUAUGAGUUUAAUUUUUGACCGUGAGUCAGAAGAAAAUUAUGAGGAAAAGCGGACAGCAAUUGGGAGGCCACUUAUGCGAGAAAAUAUGGCAACUGAGAGACACGCUGGGAAGAUUUACACAAGAGCUAUGUUCGAGCAGUUUGGCCAUAUACUGUAUGAGUGUGGUGCAUAUCAGGUAGAAGAAAAUGAAAAAGGGAAAGAGUAUAUUGCAAUACAUACAGAUGCUGCACGGCGGGAGAAGUGGUGCAGAACCUCAUACAAGGUGACGGUGAUUGAAGGUGGAGAUGAAUUUGAUUGCGAGUGCGGACAGUUUGCCCACAUGGGGCUGUUGUGCAGCCAUAUACUGAAGGUAAUGGACUUCAUUCGUGUGACAGAAAUCCCAAAGAAGCACAUUGUGAAAAGGUGGACACGAGAUGCGAGAGAUGUGCUUCCAGCCCACCUGAUGCAGUACCAGAGAGACAACGCUCAGGAAAAACCAUUUAGUUUCCGGCAUUUCAAUAUGUACAAGCAAGCCAUGGAGCUUGUACGCAUGGGAGACUCAAGUGUGGCAGCUUACGACCGCUUGACAUCACUAUUCAAUCACUGUGCAGCCGAGAUGAAGCCGUACACGGAUGUCCGAGAUGGCCUAGGUUUGGAGGACAGGUUAGUCGGCAAUGGUACUGUUCAUAAAAUGAUACAAUCAGGAGGCGACGUAUGCAAUCCGUUCGAAGCUACACAAGUCAACGACGGAAACGAUGACAACAACUCGUCUAAUGAGUCUGCAAAUAGGAUGGAGAACCUACUGGCACUUGCCAGACGGAAGCAAGUUGGGAGGCCGACAAUGAGUAGGGAGAAUGCGCCAUAUGAAGGUUUAAGUAAGAGAACUAGGUUCUGCGGGAUAUGUAGGCAGCAGGGACACAAGCGGACAACCUGUCCCGAACGAGGAGAUGUACCAAAGCAGCCACGUAAACCAGCAAGAUGCAAGAAUUGUGGAGUUGAAGGACACCGGAGGAACAAUUGCCAUAAGGCCGCGCAACUAAGGCUGGUUUAA